rnacentral:rRNA from 1 species
GACGAACGCUGGCGGCGUGCCUAAUACAUGCAAGUAGAACGCUGAAGGAGGAGCUUGCUUCUCUGGAUGAGUUGCGAACGGGUGAGUAACGCGUAGGUAACCUGCCUGGUAGCGGGGGAUAACUAUUGGAAACGAUAGCUAAUACCGCAUAAGAGUAGAUGUUGCAUGACAUUUGCUUAAAAGGUGCAAAUGCAUCACUACCAGAUGGACCUGCGUUGUAUUAGCUAGUUGGUGGGGUAACGGCUCACCAAGGCGACGAUACAUAGCCGACCUGAGAGGGUGAUCGGCCACACUGGGACUGAGACACGGCCCAGACUCCUACGGGAGGCAGCAGUAGGGAAUCUUCGGCAAUGGACGGAAGUCUGACCGAGCAACGCCGCGUGAGUGAAGAAGGUUUUCGGAUCGUAAAGCUCUGUUGUAAGAGAAGAACGAGUGUGAGAGUGGAAAGUUCACACUGUGACGGUAUCUUACCUGAAAGGGACGGCUAACUACGUGCCAGCAGCCGCGGUAAUACGUAGGUCCCGAGCGUUGUCCGGAUUUAUUGGGCGUAAGGCGAGCGCAGGCGGUUAGAUAAGUCUGAAGUUAAAGGCUGUGGCUUAACCAUAGUAGGCUUUGGAAACUGUUUAACUUGAGUGCAAGAGGGGAGAGUGGAAUUCCAUGUGUAGCGGUGAAAUGCGUAGAUAUAUGGAGGAACACCGGUGGCGAAAGCGGCUCUCUGGCUUGUAACUGACGCUGAGGCUCGAAAGCGUGGGGAGCAAACAGG